CCCUGUGUAGGGUCAAGAUGGAUUGGGCCAGCCAGUUAGAGAGGGCGGUUCCCAGAAAAGGGUCAGUCGAUGACAGCUGGCCUUAAGAGGGAUGCAUGGACUGCUGGACUUGUAGAAAUUUGUCAGACCACAGCACUGCAGGACUCGGACCAGUUGAAAUCUGACCACUGACCAGAUGCAGAAACACUGUGCUGGUAAAACUGUGCUGCUAAAACGGGCAGACCAUCUUUGCCAGCCAGCUUUCUUAUUACUGACUAACUUAAUCAGUAAAGCUUUUUCUAGAUUUGUAGAAGAUUUCCUAGUUGCUAUCUCUUCCUGUUGUGUCGUAAAAGUAACUCGAUUCUAUGAUCAGUAGCAGGAAGUCAGAAUCUACUUAAAAGUACAAAGUUGUACUGAAAACUGCACUGUACUGAGAGCUGUAUUCUACCAGAACUUACCUGUUGUUCAACCUGCUGGUAAAAACAGAUUACCCGCUUUGACCAGCCUGUGUUAUGAAUAAAAUGUGAUUAAAUGUGAAUGAAUAAAAUGUGAUUCUGUUCAUCUAA